rnacentral:rRNA from 1 species
AGUGAACGCUGGCGGUAGGCCUAACACAUGCAAGUCGAACGGCAGCACAGUAAGAGCUUGCUCUUACGGGUGGCGAGUGGCGGACGGGUGAGGAAUACAUCGGAAUCUACUUUUUCGUGGGGGAUAACGUAGGGAAACUUACGCUAAUACCGCAUACGACCUACGGGUGAAAGCAGGGGAUCUUCGGACCUUGCGCGAUUGAAUGAGCCGAUGUCGGAUUAGCUAGUUGGCGGGGUAAAGGCCCACCAAGGCGACGAUCCGUAGCUGGUCUGAGAGGAUGAUCAGCCACACCGGAACUGAGACACGGUCCAGACUCCUACGGGAGGCAGCAGUGGGGAAUAUUGGACAAUGGGCGCAAGCCUGAUCCAGCUAUACCGCGUGGGUGAAGAAGGCCUUCGGGUUGUAAAGCCCUUUUGUUGGGAAAGAAAAGCAGCAGGUUAAUACCCCGCUGUUCUGACGGUACCCAAAGAAUAAGCACCGGCUAACUUCGUG